rnacentral:rRNA from 1 species
GCCCAUCAAGGAAGGCAGCAGGCGCGCAAUUACACAUCUCGAUACGAGGAUGUAGUGACAAGAAAUAACAAUAGACGGGUUUAUUGAUCUGUCUAAUUGGAAUGAGAACAAGGUAAAAAUAUUAACGAGGAUCCAUCGGAGGGCAAGUCUGGUGCCAGCAGCCGCGGUAAUUCCAGCUCCGCUAGCGUAUACUAAUGUUGUUGCAGUUAAAAAGCUCGUAGUUGGAUUUCUGUGAUGGGCAGCCGGCCGGCUCUUCGGAGUUGUAGCUAGGUUUGUUUGUCGCAUCUUGCAGUAAUUGUCUCUGGCAUUAAUUUGUUGGAGUACAGGACCUGCUCGUUUACUUUGAGAAAAUUAUAGUGUUCAAAGCGGGCUAUCGCCUUGAAUAUAUUAGCAUGGAAUAAUGAUAUAGGACUUUGGUCUUAGUUGGUUGGUUGUUCGAGGACCGAAGUAAUGAUUGAUAGGGACGGUUGGGGGCAUCAGUAUUUUGAAGCGAGAGGUGAAAUUCUUGGACCUUCGGAAGACUAACAACUGCGAAAGCAUUUGCCUAGGACGUUCUCUUUAAUCAAGAACGAAAGUUGGGGGAUCGAAGACAAUCAGAUACCGUCGUAGUCUCAACUAUAAACUAUGCCAGCUAGGGAUGAGUGGAUGUUUAAUUACGACUCCAUUCGCACCUUAUGAGAAAUCAAAGCAUUUGGGUUCCGGGGGGAGUAUGGUCGCAAGGCUGAAACUUAAAGGAAUUGACGGGAGGGCACCACCAGGAGUGGAGCCUGUGGCUUAAUUUGACUCAACACGGGAAAACUUAUCAGGGCCGGACAUAGCUAGGAUUGACAGAUUGAUAGCUCUUUCUUGAUUCUAUGGGUGGUGGUGCAUGGCCGUUCUUAGUUGGUGGAGUGAUUUGUCUGGUUAAUUCCGUUAACGAACGAGACCCCAGCCUGCUAAAUAGUUUGCUGUAUCUUUGAUACACGUCAACUUCUUAGAGGGACUAUUCUGUGUAUAACGAAUGGAAGUUUGGGGCAAUAACAGGUCUGUGAUGCCCUUAGAUGUUCUGGGCUGCACACGGGCUACACUGCGAGGUUCAACAAGCUUCAUAACCUGGUUCGAUAGGAUCGGGCAAUCUUCUGAACUCCUCGCGUGAUAGGGAUAGACUUUUGCAAUUGUUAGUCUUCAACGAGGAAUUCCUAGUAAACGCAAGUCAUCAGCUUGCAUUGAUUACGUCCCUGCCCUUUGUACACACCGCCCGUCGCUCCUACCGAUUGGAUGAAUCGAUAAGUCCUUUGGAGAGUCCUAAGAAAGUCUUCGGGCCGGACUAGGAUCAAAAUUGUGCAAAUCGUCAUUUAAGAG